GAUGAACGCUAGCGGCAGGCCUAACACAUGCAAGUCGAGGGGUAGAAGCUUUCGGGCUUUGAGACCGGCGCACGGGUGCGUAACGCGUAUGCAAUCUGCCUUGUACUUAGGGAUAGCCCAGAGAAAUUUGGAUUAACACCUCAUAGUAUUUUUGCCUGGCAUCAGGUGAUUAUUAAAGGUUACGGUAAAAGAUGAGCAUGCGUCCUAUUAGCUAGUUGGUAUGGUAACGGCAUACAAAGGCUACGAUGGGUAGGGGUACUGAGAGGGAGAUCCCCCACACUGGUACUGAGACACGGACCAGACGCCUACGGGAGGCAGCAGUGAGGAAUAUUGGUCAAUGGGCGCAAGCCUGAACCAGCCAUGCCGCGUGCAGGAUGAAGCAUCUAUGGUGUGUAAACUGCUUUUGUACGGGAAGAAACACUGCUACGUGUAGCAGCUUGACGGUACCGUAAGAAUAAGGAUCGGCUAACUCCGUGCCAGCCGCCGCCGUAAGAC
rnacentral:rRNA from 1 species